rnacentral:rRNA from 1 species
UACAGAGGGCUCAAGCGUUGUUCGGAUUCAUUGGGCGUAAAGGGUGCGUAGGCGGCGGGGCAAGUCAGGUGUGAAAUCCCGGAGCUCAACUCCGGAACUGCACUUGAUACUGCCUCGCUAGAGUACUGGAGAGGAGACUGGAAUUUACGGUGUAGCAGUGAAAUGCGUAGAUAUCGUAAGGAAGACCAGUGGCGAAGGCGAGUCUCUGGACAGUUACUGACGCUGAGGCACGAAGGCCAGGGGAGCAAACGGG